UAGGGAAUCUUCGGCAAUGGGGGGAACCCUGACCGAGCAACGCCGCGUGAGUGAAGAAGGUUUUCGGAUCGUAAAGCUCUGUUGUUAAGGAAGAACGAGUGUGAGAAUGGAAAGUUCAUACUGUGACGGUACUUAACCAGAAAGGGACGGCUAACUACGUGCCAGCAGCCGCGGUAAUACGUAGGUCCCGAGCGUUGUCCGGAUUUAUUGGGCGUAAAGCGAGCGCAGGCGGUUAGAUAAGUCUGAAGUUAAAGGCAGUGGCUCAACCAUUGUAGGCUUUGGAAACUGUUUAACUUGAGCGCAGAAGGGGAGAGUGGAAUUCCAUGUGUAGCGGUGAAAUGCGUAGAUAUAUGGAGGAACACCGGUGGCGAAAGCGGCUCUCUGGUCUGUAACUGACGCUGAGGCUCGAAAGCGUGGGGAGCGAACAGG
rnacentral:rRNA from 1 species